CUCACAUCGCCUUUCAAAUUUUACUAUUAUCGAAAUCAAAAAGAUCUUAAUAGGCCCUGAUAAAAAUAAUUCUGAGCUAGCUUCCGUUGCCUCAUCUAAAAAUCAUUCCUUUACAACCCUUUAGUGAACAAACAACUCAAAAAAUGAAAUAAAUUAUAAGUAUUAUUCCAUCAAGUUGUGCACGGAUAUCUUCAGUCUUCAAUAGAAAUUUCUAGCCGCAGCAAGCUUGGAUAAACAAGAAAUAAACUUAAUCCCGCUUCUGGUGGAUAUUAUUCUGUCCUAACCUAACUUAACUCAAUAUGUAUAUCGUUUGCAAAUUCGAUCCCUUCUACGUUGGACCUUGCCCUCCCGGAGUCUUGGUUCCCGCUGGUGGAUGCUGUGGUCCAUGUGGACCGUGUCGUGCAUGCUGUGGCGGCUGUUCGACUUCUUGCUGCGGCUGGUAGUCAUUUUAAAUUUUAACCUUUCGAACGCAGGAUUAGCUUUUUUACAAGAUAACCCUUGCAAAUUUUACAAUGACUGAAGAUAUGUAAAUGUGUAUACCAAAGACAACAAAAAUAAAAUUGUGACGUGUUUAUAAUGA